rnacentral:lncRNA from 1 species
GGCCAAUACUAAUAUCACAAAAAUAAUCACAAAAAUAAAAUCAACAAGCAUUGCAACCAAAAUAUCAACUAAAAUAACAAACUAAAAAUCAACUCAAAAGCAAGCAACUAGCCCACUUUCUCUCCCUCCCUCGUAUACCCCGUGCUUUCUGUCGUCGCCAAGUAUCGACCUCAUCCUCCUUCACUCCCACCAUCACCAUUAGAAUCCACUUUCACUUUCCUCUGUCCAGUCCUGACUCCGGUCACGCCGCCCAGUAUCAACCUUAUCCUCCUGGCUUUUUCAUCUCCUUCUCGACAUCUCUUUGUUGCUGCACACACACAACUACAGCCUAACCAUCUGCAACGAUCUGCAAUGAAAGACGCGUAGCAUCUGUAACGAUCAGCGAAAACCUCUAUUCUUCGAGGGUGUGAAGAGAGACAACAAGAUAGGGGGAGAAUGAGAAGAGAUCAAGAAUAGAGAAAGAAAGAGAAAAAACGAGCGAGCACAUAAGAGGGAGAGAGUUAGUGGGUACCGUGUAUCUGCAAUUUUCUGAAUAAGUUUUGAUAAUAACUGUAUGUUUGCAAGAAAUACAAACAUAUAAUAUAACUGCAAUUAAU